AGUCGAGCGGUAGAUACCUUCGGGUAUUGAGAGCGGCGGACGGGUGAGUAACGCGUAGGAAUCUACCUAUUAGUGGGGGAUAGCCCAGGGAAACUUGGAUUAAUACCGCAUACGCCCUACGGGGGAAAGCGGGGGAUCUUCGGACCUCGCGCUAAUAGAUGAGCCUGCGUAAGAUUAGCUAGUUGGUGAGGUAAAGGCUCACCAAGGCGACGAUCCCUAGCUGGUCUGAGAGGAUGAUCAGCCACACUGGAACUGAGACACGGUCCAGACUCCUACGGGAGGCAGCAGUGGGGAAUAUUGCACAAUGGGGGAAACCCUGAUGCAGCCAUGCCGCGUGUGUGAAGAAGGCCUUCGGGUUGUAAAGCACUUUCAGUCGUGAGGAAGGCGGUAUCGUUAAUAGCGGUAUUGUUUGACGUUAGCGACAGAAGAAGCACCGGCUAACUCCGUGCCAGCAGCCGCGGUAAUACGGAGGGUGCGAGCGUUAAUCGGAAUUACUGGGCGUAAAGCGCAUGCAGGCGGUCUGUUAAGCAAGAUGUGAAAGCCCGGGGCUUAACCUCGGAACAGCAUUUUGAACUGGCAGGCUAAAGUCUUGUAGAGGGGGGUAGAAUUUCAGGUGUAGCGGUGAAAUGCGUAGAGAUCUGAAGGAAUACCGGUGGCGAAGGCGGCCCCCUGGACAAAGACUGACGCUCAGAUGCGAAAGCGUGGGGAGCAAACAGGAUUAGAUACCCUGGUAGAAGGGC
rnacentral:rRNA from 1 species